rnacentral:lncRNA from 1 species
GUUUUAGUCUCCUGGUCACAUACAAAUGAAAUAGGAGGGCCUGACAAAUACAGAAAUUUAGGAGCCCUAUGACUCGACAUCAGACAGACUUCUCAGAUGUUUGGAUCUCUAUUAUUAUGUCUGAUUACUUAAACCUAAAAAGUCUAAGACUGAAUUCAGUUUUUUUCUCUAAACAUUUUUCCUUCUAAAAUUUCACUGUUGUGUUUUGGUGAUACUCUAUGCCCCAGCUGCCAAGUUUUCCAUAUUUUUUAAAAUAUAUUUACUCAGUUCAAUUAUUUAUUCAACAAGUACCUGUCCAGUUGGCAUCUUGUGUGAGUCACAUACUGGACACUCUGGGAUGGAGAGACAGGUCAGUGCCCACCCUCGGGAGUUCACAGUGCGGCGGGUCCCUUUCUGCAUCCUCUCCCUCCUGUCUCUGCUGUCUUUAGUUUCUUCCUUCCCACCCCCAUUGCAGCUGCUCUAAUAAGGGGCCUUCUCCAUCACAUCUGGCCCACAGCAAUCAAGCGCUCCAUGGCCUCAGAGAGCCUAAAAGCUACAGCUUCAAAAUCCAGUUUCCCACUAACCUCUUUCAGCAGUUCUCAACUUUAGUUCUGCAUCAAAUGCAUUGGCAACUUUUUUUUUUUGAUCUGUCUGUUUUUGACACGGAUGUCCAGGAACCCUCCUGCAGAGGGCUUGGUUCAUAUGUAAUCUUGAAAUGGUGCCUUCCUUGGGCUUCCAAAAAAGAGACAAUUGUUCAUUCGUUUGUUUGUUUAGUUCUUUGUACUUUACUUUUACUGAUUAAUUGGUAUUCUUGUGCCACUCUGUCCCUUCCACUAGACUAUGACAGCCCUGAUGCCAAGAAAUGCUACCCUACUCAGCUUUCUGUUCUCAUUCUGUCACCCAGGCUGGUGUGCAGUGGAACGAUCAUGGUUCACUGCAGUCUUCACCUCAUGGACUCAAGGGAUUCUCCUGCCUCAGCCACCUGA